UUAACUUCGGGAGAAGGAGGACCCCAGUAGCGUGAUGAGACUUGCUCUCUGAGCGUGAAGGGGUGGCACAAAAUUGAGGGAAGCGACUGUUUACCAAAAACACAGCAGCGUGCUAAGCCGUAAGGCGCUGUAUACGCUGUGACUCCUGCCCGGUGCUGGAAGGUUACGGGGAUGGGUUAGUCCUUCGGGACGAAGCUCUGAACCUAAGCCCCAGUAAACGGCGGCCGUAACUAUAACGGUCCUAAGGUAGCGAAAUUCCUUGUCGGGUAAGUUCCGACCUGCACGAAUGGAGUAACGACUUCCCUACUGUCUUAACCAUAGACCCAGCGAAAUUGAAGUACGAGUAAAGAUGCUCGUUAGCUGCAGAAGGACGGAAAGACCCCGUGGACCUUUACUAUAACUUGAUGUUGUGUCUUGUCAUAUGUUGUGUAGGAUAGGUGGGAGACUUGGAAGCAUGGACGCUAGUCUGUGUGGAGUCAUCGUUGAAAUACCACCCUGCAUAUGGUGAGGCUCUAACCUAGACCCGUUAUCCGGGUUGGGGACAGCGUCAGGCGGGUAGUUUAACUGGGGCGGUUGCCUCCUAAAGAGUAACGGAGGCGCCCAAAGGUUCCCUCAGCCUGGUUGGCAAUCAGGCGUUGAGUGCAAUGGCAAAAGGGAGCUUGACUGCGAGACCUACAAGUCGAGCAGGAGCGAAAGCUGGGCAUAGUGAUCCGGCGGUUGCGUGUGGAAGCGCCGUCGCUCAACGGAUAAAAGGUACCCCGGGGAUAACAGGCUAAUCUUGCCCAAGCGUCCAUAGCGACGGCAAGGUUUGGCACCUCGAUGUCGGCUCAUCGCAUCCUGGGGCUGAAGCAGGUCCCAAGGGUUGGGCUGUUCGCCCAUUAAAGCGGUACGCGAGCUGGGUUCAGAACGUCGUGAGACAGUUCGGUCCCUAUCCUCUGCAGCCGGAGGUGAAUUGAGGAAAGCUGUCCCUAGUACGAGAGGACCGGGACGGACGCAGCUCUCGUGUGCCAGUUGUCCUGCCAAGGGCAUGGCUGGUUAGCGACCUGCGGAAAGGAUAACCGCUGAAAGCAUCUAAGCGGGAAGCCUCUUCCAAGAUGAAUUCACCCACAGGGUUAACCUGGUAAGGCCCGUGGUAGACCACCACGUUGAUAGGCCGGAAGUGUAAGCGUGGCAACACGUUCAGCUGACCGGUACUAAUCGGCCGAGGGCUUGACU
rnacentral:rRNA from 1 species